GUUCUUGUAGUUGAAUUACAACGGUGGUUUUUCAUAUCACAGGUCGUGGUUUAUUGGUCCGCGCAAGAAUU
rnacentral:tRNA from 1 species